GGGUUGGAAUGAAUCCGCCCCUGACUGGUGGCAUCGUCGUGGUCGAAGCGAAGGAGAGCGUGGGCGCGCACCUCGUCGUAUCGAUCUCAGAUUUUUCGACGACCGUUUCAAGAGCAGGAUACACUGGGUGGUCCCAUGAGAUGUACACAGAACAAUGAAUCAUACCUCGAAGAAAAGGAUUUCGGUGUGACACAGUACCAACUCUCCACGUAUUCCCUCAAGGUGAUCUAUACGAGCGAACGAGUACCAACCCGGAGAGAACCGAUCUCUAGUGAAAGCAGAUUUCGAGAUGCGACUUCGGCCUCGCUACACCAUCCGUUGCAACAACGAUAGGUGCGAUAAAUGCAAUUAUUUACGCUCGAUUAAGAACACACUUCGUCGAAAGCGCGAAGGGCCGCGAGGCGAACGAGAGCAAAGAUCAGAGGGAUGAGAGUAUUGUGCGAUGGGGACGAACGAGAGAUGAUAUAUCUUUGAUUCUAUAAAUACUUGGCAGUAAGUAAGAAGCCGCCGUCCUCCUUCUCGAAGUCUCCAUACCGUCGUUAUACCGUUCUUUUACACCUUGCACGAGCAACGAUUUCCGAUGGUAUCGUAUUCGAACGUAGCUUCCAACGGUGGUCCAUACCGAAUUUCAUUGGCGUGUGGGAAUUGAUGCAUCGCCAUGUACAAGAAUAAUUCACUAUCGUCUGUCUCUUCGCGUCGAAGUCCUGCUUAAGAAAUAUUCCAGUCGCGACCCACACACAAUGCUGCUGAGAAAAGCAGCGCGUUUACGAGAGAAGGGGGACAGUCGUGUGUACUUACUUACAACGAGUUAUAAGAGACGACGUGGUUAGUGUAUAUCAAGAGAGAUAAAGAGAAAGAGAGAGAGAGAGAGAGAGAGAGAGAGGAAGUUUUCGAAAUAAAUCACGGAACUAGGCACAACAGGUGUACGGAUUGCCUCACGAUUCAGGUUCUUCUCUCUCUCUCUCUCUCUCUCUCUCUCUCUUUCUCUGUUUCUCUUUCUUUCUUUGGUACAUCUCUCUCUCUCUCUCUCUUCGUAUGCGACACUAGAGAAAAAGAGGAGGAUCCAUACUUUAAAGUCCAUUCUCGUAUGCUUACACGCGGUACGCGAGCAUACUUUUCCUGAAUCACCAAAUAUGUUCCGUCGUCUUAAGAAAAAUAUGUAAGCAUCGUGCCGCUGAACAUAAGCGAUCUUUCUUUCGUGGCUUGUAAGACCUACACCUAUGUACUUUCCAUCUUAUUCAACUUGACUAUUCACUUUGAUGACUUUCUUUUAUCAAAAAUA